CUAGGCAGCUUUGUAGCUUGCUCAAUAUUCACCAUGCAGCAUGAAUUGACCGUUCGCAGCACUUAGUGCUGUAAGAUUAGUCUUUUGGGGUUUUUCUUCGUUUAAAAAAAAUCCUUUUUCAACAAAAAAAAGGGCAACUUUUGAUGCAUGUCAUUCCUCCCUUCUUGCAUAUGUUCGUUUUUGAUUCAAGCAUACUGUUGAAACCUUUCCUCCCUCACAGAGCAAAAUCCCCUAGAAAAGAGCAGAGCCUGCUUGUGUGCAUUUAUUUUUACCGGAUCUUGAAAGAAUUUGUUACUUAAAAGGAGAGACAGGGGGGAAAAAGACUCUAUUGCUGAUUGAGACCACUGAGCAUUACUGUGAUAGGAACAAAACUAAUAAGGUAACAAGCAGCUCUAACCUCAGCUUAAUUAACACAUCGUUAAGAUCAAGUGUGUGGAGAGGUAAUGGCUCAGUGUCACUGUGCCUGGCACAGUGUUCUUAUGGGUGAACUGGGAGGUGUGGCGACCCGAGGAAUGCGUCACAAUUUAUUUCUUGUUUGAGUGUUUAUUCUUUAGCCUCAGUGUAACCUAAGUAAUUUUUCCAAGGGAGACCUGCAAUGCUCGUAGCAAUUUUCAGGUACGAGCUGGAAGAAAUGAGUAUUGUGAGAAAGGGCAGUGUGUGACGAGGGAAGGUUUGCUCAGAAGUGCAGGCAGGCCCAGAUCUGGAUCCUCGGCUGCUGAGAGCAGUCAGGAAAAUGGGAGAUGACUGAAAGCUUUUAGUGCCAGAGCUAUUUGUUGACGUCUGAAGCAGAUCGCUUUCUGAUCUCAUCUCCCCUUGCGCUGGGCUUGGAACCAGAAGGAGAGACAUCAAAGGCUUUGAAGGAAAAAAAAAUGCAACUGAGGAAAAAUUGAUUGUUUGCCAUGAAAACCUACCCUGAAAAGAGCAGUCUGAAGAACAAUUAGCCAGAGGAGGUAAUGGUACCCACACACAGCUGCUGCUGAACAUCUCUAGCACGGACACCUACCUGGACCAGCUCUCUUUCUUUGAAGCCCCUUUUGGGGGACAAAUACUUAAAGCUAAAUGAUGAAUUUUGGUUCAUGAAAACUCACUUUCUACCUGCAAACUGCAACAACUCUUCCUUGACAAUGGAGAGAAAUAAAUGCAGCUUUGUAUGGUUCUGUCUGCAGAAGAUAUCAUGAGCACCUGGGAAGGACCUGAGUCCCCCUGCAAUGCCAGUACCAUGGGACCACAUGCAAGCAUCGAGUUCAUCUUGCCAUUGCAAUCUCCUUCCUUUAUUUUUUUGUGUAUUUUGAACUAAAGAAUGAUCGUUCUGAGAAGGGAUCAAUAGCCCAGCUGAGUGUUCAAGUUAUUAACUCACAAACAAACAGUGUCAGGGCUGAUGGGAGGAGGAAGAAUGUCAAUUUUCUGUGCAAACGUUAUUGUGAGGAGCCAUCAAGGAGUGUUUUAUUUAGCAAAUCAGGGCUAUAGGAUCUAUGCUGUUCCCUUGCUGGGAGAAUGGACAGAGUUGAGGAAUCAAAUUAUGUAUCUGGUAAAGUGUCUCAGGAGGGUUAACCUUCAGGCUGAGGGUCAGCCUGAGGAAGGAUGUCAUGUGAGAAGGAUUCCUCUCUUUUCUUAUCCCUCUGCCCACCUAUCUUUGCCCCCUCCAGUGAAAAAGCUCUCUGAGCUCUCUGCUGAGUCUUUUCUCACCCCUACCCUCAUUUUGGGGUGUUUGUCUUCACAGGCAAAGGACAUGAAGCUGUCCUAAUUCUUUCCAUAGGAGGAAAAAGAGGAUCUGUCCUCUUCAAGCCAUCCUCCAUUGGAAGUGGUUGCCCACAGAGCAGAGUCUGUGUCUUAUCCUCCUCUGAAUCCUCAUCCUCCUCUUGCCUAUAAUGGUGUACCAGUGUUUUACAUCCCCUCACAUCAUUUUUGCCUUGUGCCCAUAAUAAAGAGUGGCAGAGGGCUGGAGCGCCAGACUGGCAGCUGGGACUGUCCCAGUUCUUAGCAAAUCCAACCAUGCAUUAAAAUCUUUGGAGUCCCAGCCCUUUUCCCCUUUUAU